GGGCCGUUAGCUCAGUUGGUAGAGCAUCUGACUUUUAAUCAGGUGGUCGCAGGUUCGAUCCCUGCACGGCCUA
rnacentral:tRNA from 1 species